rnacentral:rRNA from 1 species
GAUGAACGCUGGCGGCGUGCCUAAUACAUGCAAGUCGAGCGAACAGACGAGGGGCUUGCUCCUCUGACGUUAGCGGCGGACGGGUGAGUAACACGUGGAUAACCUACCUAUAAGACUGGGAUAACUUCGGGAAACCGGAGCUAAUACCGGGUAAUAUAUUGAACCGCAUGGUUCAAUAGUGAAAGACGGUUUUGCUGUCACUUAUAGAUGGAUCCGCGCCGCAUUAGCUAGUUGGUAAGGUAACGGCUUACCAAGGCGACGAUGCGUAGCCGACCUGAGAGGGUGAUCGGCCACACUGGAACUGAGACACGGUCCAGACUCCUACGGGAGGCAGCAGUAGGGAAUCUUCCGCAAUGGGCGAAAGCCUGACGGAGCAACGCCGCGUGAGUGAUGAAGGUCUUCGGAUCGUAAAACUCUGUUAUUAGGGAAGAACAAAUGUGUAAGUAACUAUGCACGUCUUGACGGUACCUAAUCAGAAAGCCACGGCUAACUACGUG